rnacentral:rRNA from 1 species
CUCAAAGGAAUUGACGGGGACCCGCACAANCGGUGGAGCAUGUGGUUUAAUUCGACGAUACACGAAGAACCUUACCUGGACUUGACAUAGUAAGAACUUUCUAGAGAUAGAUUGGUGUCUGCUUGCAGAAACUUAUAUACAGGUGCUGCACGGCUGUCGUCAGCUCGUGUCGUGAGAUGUUGGGUUAAGUCCCGCAACGAGCGCAACCCUCGUCAUUAGUUGCUAACAGUUCGGCUGANAACUCUAAUGAGACUGCCUACGCAAGUAGGAGGAAGGUGAGGACGACGUCAANUCAUCAUGGCCCUUACGUCCAGAGUCUACACACGUGCUACAAUGGGAUAUACAAAGAGCCGCAAUACGGUGACGUGGAGCAAAUCUCAAAAAUAUCUCCCAGUUCGGAUUGUAGUCUGCAACUCGACUACAUGAAGUUGGAAUCGCUAGUAAUCGUAGAUCAGCUAUGCUACGGUGAAUACGUUCCGGGUCUUGUACUCACCGACCGUCACACCAUGGGAGUUGAACUCAUUCGAACCGGGGAUGCUAAAAUAGCUACCUUCACCGGGGAUUCAGCGACUGNGGG